rnacentral:snoRNA from 1 species
CUCGUGAUGAUACAAUGCAUAGUUCAAUCAGAACCCCAUGAUCGACACAUAUCCAUCUAGUCUUUCGCUCCUAUCUGA